GCCGGUGUGGCGCGACCCAGAAAGGCACCGAGCUCGUACCUCGGUUCAUGCGGGUGCGAAUCCCGCCGCCGGCUC
rnacentral:tRNA from 1 species